CUUUGUUCCUUCAUCUUCUCCCUCUCCUUCUUCGAAUUUUAUAUUGUACUGCGUCUAUGCUUCGUUGGUUCGGUACUCAAUUUGAGUUUUUUCUGAACAGCUUCGCAGCUUCUCUGUUGCCGUCUGGCUCUGCAGCUGCGGCCGUAGGUUUUGGUAGAUCUGGAUUCGAAAACUUCUAUACUGUAUCAAACGAAGAUUCUGCUCCCUUUUUUUGGAUUUGGUUAGUGAGGUUAAACUCAACACUUGCAGCGGCUUUCAAGGAAAGACCCUACAACUAAGAACUGAUUAACCAAAAGAAAGGCAAGGAACUUUUGCCAAUAAUUCCAAAAUGGAUAUGUGAGUACAACAAGUUGAUACUGGACUACGAUAGCUACGCUUGGCGUCAUGACUAAUGAUGGUGUCACUGGUGUCGGGUUUGACUCUCAAUUUUCUCAUGCAUGUUCUUUUUCUUGCCUCGAUUGCAUUGCAGUGUCUCAUUUAUUUCCUUUUUUUAGUGUCAUACACUUGGAUGUCAUGUAGUCUUCUUGUGUCAUGAGUAAGUGAUAUGAUUUAGCUUUGUGAUU